CCAACAGGGAUUGCCUCAGUAACGGCGAGUGAAGCGGCAAUAGCUCAAAUUUGAAAUCUGCUCUUUGAGCCGAAUUGUAAUUUGUAGAGGAUGCUUCGGCUUACGUUUCGGUCUAAGUUCCUUGGAACAGGACGUCAUAGAGGGUGAGAAUCCCGUCUGUGGCCGAGACUUCCGCCAUGUGAAGCUCCUUCGACGAGUCGAGUUGUUUGGGAAUGCAGCUCUAAAUGGGAGGUAUAUUUCUUCUAAAGCUAAAUACCGGCCAGAGACCGAUAGCGCACAAGUAGAGUGAUCGAAAGAUGAAAAGCACUUUGGAAAGAGAGUUAAAAAGUACGUGAAAUUGUUGAAAGGGAAGCGUUUGCGACCAGACUUGCCCGCGGAUGCUCAACCGGUCCUUCGGCCGGUGCACUCUUCCGCGGUCAGGCCAGCAUCAGUUCGAGUAGCCAGAUAAAGGCAUUGGGAAUGUGGCUCUCUUCGGGGAGUGUUAUAGCCCUUUGUGUAAUAUGGUUCAUUUGGACUGAGGCCCGCGCUUCGGCUAGGAUGCUGGCGUAAUGGUCGUAAGCGGCCCGUCUUGAAACACGGACCAAGGAGUCUAACAUCUAUGCGAGUGUUUGGGUGUCAAACCCGUGCGCGAAAUGAAAGUGAACGGAGGUGGGAACCUUUGGGUGCACCAUCGACCGAUCCUGAUGUCUUCGGAUGGAUUUGAGUAAGAGCAUAGCUGUUGGGACCCGAAAGAUGGUGAACUAUGCCUGAAUAGGGUGAAGCCAGAGGAAACUCUGGUGGAGGCUCGCAGCGGUUCUGACGUGCAAAUCGAUCGUCAAAUUUGGGUAUAGGGGCGAAAGACUAAUCGAACCAUCUAGU
rnacentral:rRNA from 1 species